rnacentral:rRNA from 1 species
UGGUACAAAGAGGAAGCCAACUCGCGAGAGCGCGGCCAAUCUCAAAAAAGCCAUCCUCAGUUCGGAUUGGAGUCUGCAACUCGACUCCAUGAAGUUGGAAUCGCUAGUAAUCGCGGAUCAGCAUGCCGCGGUGAAUACGUUCCCGGGCCUU